GGGCCCUUAGCUCAGUUGGUUAGAGCACCUGACUCAUAAUCAGGUGGCCGCUGGUUCGAGCCCAGCAGGGCCCACGA
rnacentral:tRNA from 1 species